UUCGGCUGAAAGAUAAAACAGCACCGGUCACCAUUAUACCCAACAACAUUGGGUACAAUGGUGACCAUACUGUGGGCUCAACAAGAAAAUAGACUUAAUGACACUACAGGUAAAACAAAUCAAUCCUGCUACAUUAAUGGUGGUAUAUCUCUCUUUCCAUGACACUGUUAUCCAUCUAGGAUAUCUUUUGUAACAGAAGCCUAUGUCAGAACUACUGCCAUAUUUUAGAAGCACAAAGAGAAAGCUUUAUGAAGUUAUAUGAAGUUGUGUCAUGCAAGAUAAUUAGUAUUCCAAGCCAUCAGAAUGUGCCAGCAAUUCAAACAUAUGACAUUAUGCUGUUGUGCGCUCAACACUAAGUGUGUUGUGUAUAGGGCUAUAAGCCUGAGAUGGCAGAACAGCUGAGUGAUGUAGGCAUGUUCCCUCUUUGCCAAAGAGUAUUUGAAUUUUUUUCUGGGAGUUUCUUAGUUGUGUACAUUGCAUAUCAACACUUAUCCUAAGUUAAGUCAGUGUAAUUCAGCCUCAGAGUGAAGUCCCUGAUAGAGCCAGUCCAUAGCAAAAGCGUGCAGUAGAAAAUGUCCAGUCCAAAUUGUUUCAUACCAGUCAAGGAAUAAUAUGAAGGUUAGGGAGUGGUGAUACGGUUAGAUAAAGUGUAAGGGCUGGGGUUAGAUUGAGUAUUAGGGGUUGAGGUUGAGUUAUGUGUUAGGGUUAAGGUUAGGUUAAGUGUUAGGGUUAGGUUAAGUAUUGGGUUUAGGUUAAGUAUUGGGGUUAGGGCUAUGUUAAGUAUUAGUGUUAGGUUCACUUCCACCUAUCCUCUUUGUGCUCAGUUGUGCAUGAGGCCUUGAUUCUUUUCCUCCAUUUGGGCCUGUCUAGAGCUACAAUUGCCUCGUUGCAAUAUUUCCAUCCUUCUUCUGUUCUCUCCUUUUCUACGGACCGCCUCCAUGUUGUCUUCGGUAAGUGCAGUUGCACAAUGGUGUUGUUGAGGCAUCCUGAGUACAUGUCCGAGGAACCCCAACCAUCAUCCAUCUCCUUCUCACUGUGUAGAUCCUGUUUCUUGGUUCAACUGCUUUGUUGAUUUUAUGUAUGGCCAAAAGAUGCCCAAAAUUCUCUUUAUACACUGGUACUAGAAUGAAUUAAGAUUUUCACAGGCCUCUCCAUUUGUCUCCCAUGUUUCACUCCCAUACAAGAGGACAAGCUUCACAAGGGUGUUAAAUAGCUUGUUGUAUUGUUUGGAGCCCUAUACUUACUUCAGUUUCCUGAAAGCUGCUUUGGCCUUGCUGAGGUGAAGUCAUUGGUUUUAUGUAUAGCUGGACCAUGCUAGAACCUGAUCUGCUCUUGGCCCUUGCAGUUCAAUUUCAGUACUCAAUUUUUGAUUGACUAAUGUUAGUCCUACUUUGGCUCUCUAAGAUGGCUCGUCUGCAUUUGCUGUGGUUGGUCGAAAUAGGUGCAAUGUCAUUCACAAAGUCUAUGUCUUCUAGUUGUACUAGUUGUGUGUUGAACUUCCAUCUGAUUCCAGUGUUGCCUUGGCUAGUUGCUUCGCACAUUAUCCAAGCAAUGGCAAGCCUGACAGUAUGUAGCAUUGUUUGACUCCAGCAUCCACUUGGAUGCUUGGCCUCCAUCAAGAACUGCGCAUUCGCUAUCUUGGUAAAGGGUUACGGUAAUGUUAAGGGUUGGGGUUAGUGUUAGAGUAAGAUCAAGUAUUGUAGUUAAGAAUUGUGUCAAUGUUUGGACUAGUACUUUAAUGUUUAACAAGCUGAGGUUUAGUAGUGCGAGGUUUAGUAUGCGCAAUAGUUGCCAAAGCAUAGCAUAGUAGAAGAACAUAAGUUUCAAGUGUCUUCAAGUAAUUGAGCUUCUCAAUGAAGGUCUCUUAUAUUAAAGUUUUCAGCAGUAGACACCAGCCGGUAGAGCAAAAAGUUGGUGUGUCCAUUGCAAGACCUCGCCAGUAUACAUCAGCCGGUAAAGCAAUAAGGUAAGUCGGUGAGUCCAUUGCAAGACCUCGCCAGUAUACACCAGCCGGUAGAGCAAUAAGGUAAGUCGGUGAGUCCAUUGCAAGACCUCGCCAGUAUACACCAGCCGGUAGAGCAAUAAGGUAAGUCAAUAUGUCUAUUGCAAGAUCUCGCCAGUAUACACCAGCCGGUAGAGCAAUAAGGUAAGUCGGUGUGUUCAUUGCAAGACCUCGCCAGUAUACACCAGCCGGUAGAGCAAUAAGGUAAGUCAAUAUGUCUAUUGCAAGACCUCGCCAGUAUACACCAGCCGGUAGAGCAAUAAGGUAAGUCAGUACGUCUAUUGCAAGACCUCGCCAGUAUACACCAGCCGGUAGAGCAAUAAGGUAAGUCUGAGUGUAGCUUAGUUGUGAAUAUGCAUCCUUUUUUAAGACUUUGUAAGACAAGAACAUGACAAAAACCCUAAUAGGCUUAUUUGUUGGAAGUGUAAGAGAUAGGGGGUGAUAAAGGUUUCUGGAUAGUGAUUGUGAUCUUACUAGUACAUAUUCCAUGAGACAGCUCUGUAUAGGUAAAAA